UAGGGAAUAUUGGACAAUGGGUGAGAGCCUGAUCCAGCCAUGCCUCGUGCAGGAAGAAGGCGUUAUGCGUUGUAAACUGCUUUUUGCCAGGGGAUAAAAAGACCGUGCGCGGUUAAUUGAAGGUACAUGGUGAAUAAGCCACGGCUAACUACGUGCCAGCAGCCGCGGUAAUACGUAGGUGGCAAGCGUUGUCCGGAUUUAUUGGGUUUAAAGGGUGCGUAGGUGGCCCUGUAAGUCAGUGGUGAAAUAUCUCAGCUUAACUGAGAGGCUGCCAUUGAUACUGCAGGGCUUGAGUACAGAUGAGGUAGGCGGAAUUGACGGUGUAGCGGUGAAAUGCAUAGAUAUCGUCAAGAACACCGAUAGCGAAGGCAGCUUACCAAGCUGUAACUGACACUGAGGCACGAAAGUGUGGGGAUCAAACAGGAUUAGAUACCCAAGUAGUCCCUGAGCGGGCUGGCAAGGCGCAU
rnacentral:rRNA from 1 species